rnacentral:rRNA from 1 species
GCGAACGCUGGCGGCAGGCCUAACACAUGCAAGUCGAACGCACCUUUCGGGGUUAGUGGCGGACGGGUGAGUAACACGUGGGAACGUGCCUUUAGGUUCGGAAUAACUCAGGGAAACUUGUGCUAAUACCGAAUGUGCCCUUCGGGGGAAAGAUUAAUCGCCUUUAGAGCGGCCCGCGUCUGAUUAGCUAGUUGGUUGAGGUAAUGGCUCACCAAGGCGACGAUCAGUAGCUGGUCUGAGAGGAUGAUCAGCCACAUUGGGACUGAGACACGGCCCAAACUCCUACGGGAGGCAGCAGUGGGGAAUCUUGCGCAAUGGGCGAAAGCCUGACGCAGCCAUGCCGCGUGAAUGAUGAAGGUCUUAGGAUUGUAAAAUUCUUUCACCGGGGACGAUAAUGACGGUACCCGGAGAAGAAGCCCCGGCUAACUUCGU